AUGAAUUUCCCGGCGCGUUGGAGAGACUGGGUCGCCCUGCUUCUCUCCUCCGCGUCCUCCACCUGCAUGCUAAACGGAGACCCGGGCCCUGCGAUCCUUCAUCAGUGGGGGCUGCGGCAAGGGGACCCCCUUUCGCCGAUCCUCUUCAUCCUGGCGAUCGACACCCUUCACCGACUAUUAGAAGCAGCUCAGCAUGCUGGGGCCAUCGCCCCCCUACCGACCGCUGCAGCGCGUCUGCGGGUCAUGCUCUACGCGGACGACGCGAUCUUCUUCGCCAAUCCGGUGCGCCAGGAGAUAGCACCAUCAUGCAGCUACUGGACGGGUUUGGAGAGGCGACGGGGCUUCGCAGCAACCCCCAAAAAUCGUCAGCGGCAACCCUCAACUGCGGUAGUAUCGACCUCAUAG
rnacentral:rRNA from 1 species